CUGCAGCCCGAGUGGUGAUCGAUUUUAUUGAGCCUAAAGCGUUCGUAGCCGGUUUAGUAAAUGCUUGGGUAAAUUGUGUCGCUUAACGAUACGAAUACCGGGUAGACUGCUAAACUUGGGACCGGGAGAGGCUAGAGGUACUCCUGGGGUAGAGGUGAAAUUCUGUAAUCCUGGGGGGACCACCAGUGGCGAAGGCGUCUAGCUAGAACGGGUCUGACGGUGAGGGACGAAGCCCUGGGGCGCAAACCGGAUUAGAUACCCGAGUAGUCC
rnacentral:rRNA from 1 species